UGGACUUGCUGCAGCAGUCCAAGCACAGUCCAGGCGCAUGUUGGAGCAAGAAAAGUUGGCACGUACUGCCUUGAGGUGCACUGGAACUGCUUAAGCAGUACAGUCACGGGUUGAACACAGAUGACGCGCAGAUCGUUUAAAAAAUUUCACUGAUGCUUUAAAACGGGUCGAAUUUUAUGGGCCUGACCCGACUCGGUCAGCCCAAAGUCUUUUUAAAACACUUAAAAGUAGCCAAAAACAGUGAACAUUUAAACUUUCUCAUUACAACUUUUUUUUCAACGUGCCUUUAUCUCAAACUCAACGCACUCUCUUUCUCUACCAACAAUUAAGCUAACAAGAAGUGAGAUCAUUCUUUCGGACUUGUGCUUCAAUUUUCUCCUCUCUUAAAUCAAGAAAGGUAUGUCUCCACGUAAAAACUUGCCAUGAGAAAUUAUCCAGGGAUGAUGAGUCACUCUUCAUAAAAGACUCGAUGAGAGGAGCUCAGUCUGACGAGGCUCCUAUUGAGAUAGUACGAUCAUUCACCAACAUAGACCCGAGCGCCUAGUGCGCCACAGGGAGUCUUUACCCUCUUUUACUCUCUUUUAUUUCUGUAUUGGGGAUAAUGUAAUAUUUUUAGUGGGGGUGGGGGUAUAGUUAUGAUUCAUUUGAUGGUCGGUACCUACUGUCUCAUUUUAUGGCAUGUGGUUUGAUAAAUUGUGGAGACAUAUUCUAUUUUAUUACUUUGAUGUUUGUGUACUUUAGCCCUUGUGGAGUGUGUUUUUUUUAUUGACAUUGCUUUGGAUGGGCCCUUGUUGGGCAUCUUGAUAAUGAUGUCAAAUAUUGUCGUUUUGGUUUUGAAUUUGUGUCAUGCACUUAAUUUAAAUGUGGUAUCCGAUUGUGCCCAUUGCUCUUGUCGCCUUUUGUAUAUACGUGUCUAAUAAACUCCAAGAGUUUUCUUCGAAACUCAGUUCUUUUCUAAGGAGAAGAUUUUUAUUUUCUCUUUCUUUUGAUCUUUUAUUUUUAUUUUAGUUUAGUUUCUUCGUCGAACCGAGUGAUAAUUCACCCAUGAGGGAUGGCGAGGCGACAUUCUUAGGCGAAGUAUCUAGUCAUUUUGUUAACUAGGAAGAAGUAAAAAUUCGAAAAUACUUCCAAAAUGUCAUUGGCAAGGAAUAAAAUAUUUUUGAAAAAAAAAAUCAAAAAUCUAGUUGUAAGAUCAAGGAUGUCUUGAGUUUUCUUUUGAGUGAGAUCACUAAACUCAAUUUUUGGCUCUCUUUUUACAAGGAUGAGUUGUUGACUCAGAGUAACUUAUGAAGCUCAAAUUGCUCAAAUUGGUUGGGAGACUAACUUUUUGCUCUAUGAGUACGAUGCCAUGAGUGGUAAGAUUUUUGAAUAAUUCUUGUGCAUUUGUCUAGUAUAGAACUUGCCCCGAGUGUAUUCAAAGCGAAAUUCUAGGCAAGCUGGGGUUGGAAGAUGACUCGAGGCCCUUUUUGACCCGUCACAUAGCCAAAUUCCCACCCUAAGAUUGUUCCCUAGUUAACCCAUUUGAACCUUUUUGUCCUUCGUUCUUUCUUAUUGUAAUGAUAACCAUUCUAAAACACCUAAACCCUUUUGAAAACCUCUCUUUUGGCACCUAAACUCCUUUGAUGCGUUGCAUGAUUCUAGAUAAUGGAUUAUAGGCAAAAGCCUAAGUUUGGGGGGUUGUGUAGUUGGGAGAAGAUGAUCAAAGAAAAGAUAAGAAAGGUUUAUGUAGGGUUGUCAAUGCAUGUGCUUAAAAGACAAGAGAGGUGCUUGAUAAUAAAAUUGAAUAGCCUAGCCCAUAGAACUUGAAAAAAAAAAUUAAAUGAGUGAGGGGCUAAGAAAGGCUUAUAGGUAGAAAAUCUCUUGAAAAAGUCAAAGAAGUGAAAGAAAGAAAAUAGUGGCUUUGAAUGGUUUGAUAAAUGCUAAACAAAUAGUUAGGAAAAUAUGGAAAAUGAUUUGAAAAAGAAUAAGGUUGAUGGUUUGAAAAUUUUGGGGGUAGAAAGGAUUGAGCUAUGGCAUUGAAGGAGGUCCGUUAGUCACUUGAUCCAUAUGUAUUCCUUCCCGCACCUUAAACCUUCAUCUUGACCCGCAAGACCUUGGUGAUUCCAAACUAAGUAAGUCUACAUUAGUGGCGAAAAACACAAAGGGCAAGCCUAUGGUUCUAUUCAAUGUACUUGAAUUUCUUUGUGAGAGUGAGUGUGAAUUUCUUCUUUAUUUGAGAUCCCUUAAGAAUUGAAAUAUCUUUGGUGUGUGGAGCUAACUCUUGCAUGUGAGCGACAUCGGUACUUUUGGGUAGAGGGUGAUAUUUUACUAUCGGUUUGGGUAAAUGAGUGAAGUAAGUAGCAUUAUGAAGAUUGAUACAAUCGUUGAUGAUUUUGUGUCUUAUCUUAAGAUGUUUUUUGACUUGAAAAAAUUCAUUUGAUACAAACUUGCAUCCUUGCUUCAUAAAUAUGUGCUUAUUGAAAAGUUUUGGUUUGGUUGUUGCCAUGACAUGUGUGGAAAGUGUUUGUAGAGUUUUGUUAGCCUAUUCCUUUAGUAUAGUUUUCUUCUAGGUGAAUUUGAACUAAAUACCCUAUCUCAUUGAAUUUUCUUGGUUGCUUGAGGACAAGCAAUAGUUUAAGUUUGAGGGGGUGAUAAGUCGUCAAUUUGACGACUUGCUAGCACCAAUUAAGACUAAACUAUCAUGUUUUUUCAUUAAUUUGAUGGUACUCUCUUACUUAAUGCCCAUUUAUGUAGGUAAAGGUAAAAAGAGAAGAUUGAGUAAGUUAUUCAAGUCAUUAAGAGGCCAAAUGUGAAGGAAAUGAGUCAUUCGCUUCGCAUCCGCUUUGCAUCCGUUUUAUAUCUGCUUUGGAGCUGCUAGCCAUUUGCUCUCUGUCUGCUCUUCAUCCGCUUUGGAUCUGCUCAAGCAGAUCAAGAAUAAGGUGGCAGUUUUGUAAUUUUCAUCACAUGUAAAGUGGAGUUUAAAAGGGGUCUUUUAGCUCAUUUUUCAAACCUAAGUUUUCAUCUCUUAGCAUGAUAACCUCCCUUUUAGCUCUUAGCUUCUCUCUUCUCUUUUAGCACUUACCUUUUCAUCUUUUAAGAUUUUUGUACUACGCUUAAAUGAAAAAUACAUGGUAGCGAUUUUCCUUUGAAGAAUUAUUGAAACCCCAAGUGUGGAAUUACAUUGUCUCUAUCUCUCAUGGAUGAGGUUAAUGAUAACUUUGGUAUAUUCUUAUCCCUUUUAUCUAUGAGUAGCUAAAUUUUAAUCUUGGGGUUAUGCUUGCUUAGGUAGCGGUAGUGCAUGGAUUUUAGUUAAUUAUUUUUCUAACUAGUUAAUUGUGAUGGGUGUUGCAUUUAUUUCGUGAAUUAAUUGAGAGUUGGGGGUAGCAAACUCCAACCACUCUAGAACCCAUGUCAUUCUUGAAUGAGAGGACUUGGGUGAGGAAUACAUGCAACCAAUAGCUUGAUUCAUUUCAUUUAAUGAUAUCUCUUAGACAUAAGGAUGUCAAUUGAGGCAAUAGAUGUGGAAAAUUGUCACACUUGUGAGGUGUUCGAAAAAACCCAUUUGUGAAAUUUGGUGUUGUAAUUGAAAGAUUGAUAUCAAUACAUUGACAUUUAGCCUACCCAUGACUUUUAGCUAAAAGUUGAAUAAAUGGUCAAAUACCCAUGCAUGAUCUCACACCUAUAAUUGCAUAACCCCAAGGAUUAUUCUCAAUUGAAUUCACUCUUAGCAUUCUUCAAUGUCAAGCUAGUGCACUAAAAUUGAAGUAGUUGUCAUUUAUAAACACAUUCAAACUAAAUCCCUCCCAUUUUACAUUUAUGCUUGCUUUAUUCAUACUACGGGUUAUUUUUUAGUAGACUAUUAAUACUCUUGAGCUUUGUAUUCCAUGCUUUCACUCCUUGUGGAUUUGACCCCAACCUAAGUUGGGUUAUUAUAUUGGAAAUGAUCUCUUACACCAAUUCAAGAGUGUAAUUUGAGCGUUAUCAACAGUAGACCAUUGUGGUCCGAUUGUUUUCUGCAUCAAGCACAUAACGAAAGUUUUAAUGCAUCAGGUUGCCCACGACAAAUUCAAUUCUAAUUUGAACAAUUAUGGAGUGAAAUUAUUGACAUAUUAUUUGUCUGUAUCUACUAGUCUUGUGACUUCUUCUUUUGCUUUUAUUAUCCAUUUGGGUUAAAAACAGGUUAUUCCAGAUUUGCAUGGAGAUAGCAACACAAGACUUUUUGCCUAUUAGACUUUUCACCUACUGGUUCUACAAAAGUGGAAAUCUUCUGUUAAAAAAUAUCAACUUAUGGGUGGUGUUACAAGUCUGAGCCUUACUUGAUUUAUGACCAUAGGGUUGAACUAUUUUAAAGAAUUCCAACGGUGAAUUCAGGGUUCGAAUUCUGUUCAUUAUGUCUGUGAGCUGUUCUUCUUCGUGAUUACUACUGGAUAUUUGCUUCACAACUUUUGAGAAUUCUCCAGACUUUACUAGCUGAUGCAAUCCACGAAAGUCAUAUAAACACAACUACAAUCCCAGAGUUCAGUUUGCUUACCCAACAGCAGUGAAAGUGCGUACAACACUGACGGCCUUCUCUCUUAGACCACUACUAGCUCAAUGAAAAUCCAAGAAGUCACCAAUGGCCAUACAACAAAGAUAUCCCUAACGGCGAUAUCAGCAAUGGUAGCCGAAACGGCGACGUUUCCAAUUGACCUCAUCAAAACUCGGCUUCAACUCCACGGCGAAUCAUCAGCCGUUCGAUUAGUAUCGGAGAUCUUACGCAACGACGGCGUUUUUGGAUUGUACAAAGGAUUGUCGCCGGCGAUUAUAAGGCAUUUGUUUUACACUCCAAUUCGGAUUGUGAAUUAUGAGUUUUUAAGGAAUUUAUUGGUUCGUGAUGAUGAUUGUUCUCUUUCGCUGUCGAGUAAAGCUACUAUUGGUGGAUUAUCUGGUGUUAUUGCUCAGGUUGUGGCAAGCCCAGCUGAUCUUGUCAAAGUCAGGAUGCAAGCAGACAGUAGAAUGGCAAGUCAGGGUCUUCAACCUCGAUAUUGCGGGCCAUUUGAUGCUUUCAAUAAGAUUAUUCGGACUGAAGGUUUCAGGGGACUUUGGAAAGGCGUGCUCCCAAAUGUCCAGAGAGCCUUUUUAGUUAACAUGGGAGAACUGGCGUGCUAUGAUCAUGCAAAGCGCUUUGUGAUCAAUAACAACAUAGCGAAUGAUAAUAUAUAUGCACACACUUUAUCAUCUAUAAUGUCAGGCCUGGCAGCAACUACAUUGAGCUGUCCAGCAGAUGUAAUUAAGACAAGAAUGAUGAAUCAGGCUGCUGAUAAGCAAGGGAAUUAUAAAUAUAGAAACUCAUACGAUUGUCUUGUCAAAACUGUUAGAGUUGAAGGACUCAAAGCAUUGUGGAAGGGAUUCUUUCCAACAUGGGCAAGACUUGGCCCUUGGCAAUUUGUAUUCUGGGUGUCAUAUGAGAAGUUCCGACAAAUUGCUGGUCUCUCUUCGUUCUAACCAAUUCAUCACGCUGUGCCCUUUAUAAAAUGGUGGAGCAAAGGAGAACUGGGGAGAAAGUUCUCUACUUGGAAUUCUUCAGUAGUGUCUAAACGAUAGUGUUUUCUCUAGUUAAGUAGUUUAAACUGUUUGCUGUCUGCUCUUCAUCCAAAUGUUAGCUGGUCGAUCCGCAAGUGUUGGCUUCAGGGUGCCAGCGAAAGUAGCACUUCUCAUAUUUGUGGGGAAGUUCAGAAACAACCAAUUGGAACUUGGACUCUGUCAAUAUAACAUGGAGGUCCAACGUGGGGUAAACCAAGAAUUGGGAUGAGUCAGGCUCUCGUACCAUGGAAGCAGAUGCAAUAUAGGAAGCUAAGUUUUGCGGACUCUUCACUUUUAAUGCCGCAUCCUUGUCGAUUCUUUAAAAAUACAUCACUUUUGGAGAAUCCAACGUGCACUUUAUUGACAUUUUUUAAAGAUUCCGAGCAACAUAGAUAGGUGUGCUUGAUGAAUAGGUCAACAAGAUGCAUCUGCUAACGUGUGAAUUAGGCUUAUGUUACAGGUGAAAUUAUGUUACAGAGAAAACACUCGAUAUUUAAAUGGAGAAGGAUAGAGUGGUCGAUGAGCCCAUUUCAUUGAGUUUUAAACUGUACAUGACUCAAGAUUACUCGAUUAUCCAAAAGGAAUUCUCAUUUCUUGUUAUGAUCAAUGAAGAAAAAACUUUGAUGAAA